rnacentral:lncRNA from 1 species
CCUCAUGGAACCUUCUCCAAAACUGACAAAAUAAUUGGCCACAAAACAGGCCUCAACAGAUACAAGAAGAUUGAAAUAAUCGCAUGCAUCCUAUCAGAUCACCAAGCACUAAGGCUGGUCUUCAAUAACAAAAACGGCAAAAAGUCCACAUAUAUAUGGAAGUUGAACAACACUCUACUCAAUGAUAACUUGGUCAUGGAAGAAGUAAAGAAAGAAAUUGGGGUUGGGUAUUUGGCUCAGUGGUAGAGCGCUUGCCUAGCAAGCACAAGGCCCUGGGUUCGGUCCCCAGCUCCGAGAAAAAAAAAAAAGAAGGAAAGAAAGAAAGAAAGAAAGAAAGAAAGAAAGAAAGAAAGAAAGAAAGAAAGAAAGAAAGAAAGAAAGAAAUUAAAGACUUGUUAUAAUUUAAUGAAAAUGCAGGCACAACAUACCCAAACAUAUGGGACACAAUGAAAGCAGUGCUAAGAGGAAAACUCAUAGCUCUGAAUGCUCCCAAAA